rnacentral:rRNA from 1 species
UACGGGAGGCAGCAGUGAGGAAUAUUGGUCAAUGGACGAGAGUCUGAACCAGCCAAGUAGCGUGCAGGAUGACGGCCCUAUGGGUUGUAAACUGCUUUUAUACAGGGAUAAAGUAGGGAACGUGUUCCCUUUUGCAGGUACUGUAUGAAUAAGGACCGGCUAAUUCCGUGCCAGCAGCCGCGGUAAU